UACGUAGGGGGCAAGCGUUGUCCGGAAUCAUUGGGCGUAAAGCGCGUGUAGGCGGCCCAGUAAGUCCGCUCUGAAAGCCCGGGGCUCAACCCCGGGAGGCGGGUGGAUACUGCUGGGCUCGAGUCCGGAAGAGGCGAGUGGAAUUCCUGGUGUAGCGGUGAAAUGCGCAGAUAUCAGGAAGAACACCCGUGGCUAAGGCGGUUCUCUAGUACGGUACUGACGCUGAGACGCGAAAGCGUGGGGAGCGAACAGG
rnacentral:rRNA from 1 species